GCAGAUAUUUAAGCAACACAACUGCAUCGACUUAGAAAAAAUCAUUUGGUUAUUCAAAAAAAGAGAAAAAAUACUUCGAAUUUUUUAAACUUUCCGACCAUCUUAGUUUACGGAAAUAAUCAACAUGCGUUAUCUUUUAAUAGUUUGCGUAUUUUUAAUGUUCAUCAUUUACUCAACGAACACAGUACAAGGUUAUGUAGUUGGUUCGAGAUCUGCACAACCUGAAAGCUCAAUAAUUAAUGCGCCUCCCCGAGGGUGUCCUGAAGGACAGAAACUUGAUUCUGAGGGAGAAUGUCGUGAUUAUAUUCCGACAGGUUAGGAAUAAAAAAUUCAUAAUAAUAUAAAAAUAUUAUUCCAAUAUUCAAUGUCACAUUCAUUUAUGUAUAAUAUAAUAAAAAUUAUAAAUAAUGUAACAUAAUUGGAAAAUAAAUGUUAAAUUAAGAAUUAAAAGAAUAAAGAUAUAUUAAAA